rnacentral:rRNA from 1 species
AAUUUUGGACAAUGGGCGCAAGCCUGAUCCAGCCAUGCCGCGUGAGUGAAGAAGGCCUUCGGGUUGUAAAGCUCUGUCGGACGGAAAGAAAUCGCGCAGGCUAAUACCCUGCGCGGAUGACGGUACCGUCAUAAGAAGCCCCGGCUAACCACGUGCCAGUAGCCGCGGUAAUACGUAGGGUUCGAGGGUUAAUCGGAAUUACUUGGCGUAAAGCAUGCGCUGGUGGUUGAUUAAGACAGGCGUAAACUCCCCGCGAUUAACCUGGGAACUGCGCUUGUGACUGGUGAGCUAGAGUACGGCAGAGAGGGGUGGAAGUACACGUGUAGCAGUGAAAUGCGUAGAGAUGUUGAGGAACACCGAUGGCGAAAGCAGCCCCCUGGGCCGAUACUGACGCUCAUGCACGAAAGCGUGGGUAGCAAACAGG